UACGAGGGGGGCAAGCGUUGUUCGGAAUUAUUGGGCGUAAAGGGCGCGUAGGCGGUGCGGUAAGUCACCUGUGAAACCUCUAGGCUCAACCUAGAGCCUGCAGGCGAAACUGCCGUGCUUGAGGGUGGGAGAGGUGCGUGGAAUUCCCGGUGUAGCGGUGAAAUGCGUAGAUAUCUGGAGGAACACCGGUGGCGAAGGCGGCAUCCUGGACCGGCAUUGACGCUGAGGAGCGAAAGCCAGGGGAGCAAACGGG
rnacentral:rRNA from 1 species